UUUAAAGUCGGGCCUGCUCCAUGAUAUUUAAAUAGCUGCAGUAUUUUGACUGUACAAAGGUAGCAUAAUCAAUAGUUUCUUAAUUAGAAGCUGGAAUGAAUGGUUUGAUAAGAAAAUAACUGUCUUAAUAUAAAUAAUAAAAUUUUAUUUUUAAUUUAAAAAGAUUAAAUUUUUUAAAAAGACGAGAAGACCCUAUAGAGUUUAAUAAAACUUUAAGUUUAAAUUUUAGUUUAUAUUAAUUAUAUUUAAAUUUUUAUUUGGUUGGGGUGAUUAGUAAAUUUAAAAAACUUUAUUUUAUAAAAACAUAAAUUUAUGAAUAAAUGAUCUUAAUUUUUAGAUUAAAAGAUUAAAUUACCUUAGGGAUAACAGCGUUAUUUAUUUAGAGAGUUCAAAUCGAUAAAUAAGUUUGCGACCUCGAUGUUGGAUUAAAAUUAAAUUUGGUGAAGAAGCUAAAUUGUUAAGUCUGUUCGACUUUUAAAAUUUUACA
rnacentral:rRNA from 1 species